UACGUAGGGUGCGAGCGUUGUCCGGAAUUAUUGGGCGUAAAGAGCUUGUAGGCGGUCUGUCGCGUCUGCUGUGAAAAUCCGGGGCUCAACCCCGGACUUGCAGUGGGUACGGGCAGACUAGAGUGUGGUAGGGGAGACUGGAAUUCCUGGUGUAGCGGUGAAAUGCGCAGAUAUCAGGAGGAACACCGAUGGCGAAGGCAGGUCUCUGGGACGGUACUGACACUGAGACGCGAAAGCGUGGGGAGCGAACAGGGAUUAAGAA
rnacentral:rRNA from 1 species